CGUAUAGAAUCACGCCAAUUCAUUGGCUGAUGGCGCGGGCGCCUAGUCACUCACUCUAUACAGUGAACGCGCCACCUGCUCCUCAGUUUUUCUUCUUCAGAAGAAGCGGUUUAUCUGGCCCGUGCUUUUCUUUUGGAUAUUCUCUCUUUGUGCUUCUACGACCGCAUAUAGUGGAACUUGCUUCGUUCUCCUUCCGGUGAAGCAUAAAGGAUCUGCGACGUUGCCAGCCGCCGUGCUCUUAUUUCAAAUGACGAUCCACACGGCCUCACUGAGCCAUUGGAUUUUAUGAAAAAUGUCUAAUUUGUGUUCCGAAGAUGAACAAAGGUUUUACAGGUUAAGGACAUAAACGAUUCUCCACAUAAACAAGGAUAAGCACUAUUCAGAUUACUGACCGCAAGGUGAAUACACAACAGCAAUAACAGUCGAAAAUAAAGAAAGGCCAAAGUAUCAGAAACUGAGCCGAGAUGGAGGACCCGAUAUGAAUGCAGAUGGUAAACCAGCAUGUGAGAGGUCACUGAUCAUCCUGCUCCAAAACUGAAACAAUGAGUGGGAAUGUGAAUGUCUCUGAUGGAAAUGAAUGGCCAUCCUGCAGUAACAACACCUCAGAAUUUUCCAUUGUGUGCUCCAACUCCUGCUAUCCCAAUACAGCUCCAGUUUAAGAGCUUUUCCAUUUAAUCUGAAACAUCCUGACUAUCUGACAACCAGCACUUCUUGGGUGUUGGAGUAAAAAAUCCUAGAUAAAGUCCAAAUUACUUUGCUUGCAAGGCCAAGAAUUUGCAUUUAGCAUCAGGGAUUCAUAUAAGUUGUCGACAGGGGCUCAAUGAAGGAUGUUUGCUGCCACAGAUCGCAUUUUUGGCAGAAACGAUUCACAUCACUCUGCAAGCUAAGCCAGUGGAAGUGGCCCCUAAAACAAUCUACAGUCGCUUUUAUCCUCAGAUGACCUGCAAUGGGAGGCAAAUGAGCCAGUCUUAAUACAGUUUCUGUUUCAGUGUUUGGUACGACCAACAGUUCAUGGAUACAGAGCUGACUUGUUCCUUCCAGUGUAGAAGCUCACCAAAAAGCUGUUUAAACCCUGGGCAAUAGAGUGCUGCAGGAAUGAUUUGUUUUUAUAGGCCAAAAGCUGGAACUGAGUUAGCAUUUUAGCACCCGUUUCAUUGUCUUGAAGUCCAUUGUUUUUAUAAAUGGGUUUUUAGUAUACAUGAACUAAGUUCUGUGGUUAACACAAGUUUAAGAUAUUAUCAUGUUUUAUUCUACAACAUAAAAUACAUCAGUAAUCCUUGUUUUUUUUGUUUUUUGUUUUGUUUUGAAGCUUGUCCUGAAAAAGGCGGUUGCUAACAAGUGUCUAAAUGGGAAUACAGAGGUUAUUGGGAACAUGAAACAUCAUCACACAGAAAAAGUAAAUUCAUCUACUGACUAGUUCGCUUUUACAGCCUUGUGUUUAUAAUCUAACUCUUGCAAACUAUUCAAACUUAAACUUUCAGGGACAGUUUUUAACAUUUUGACAUGUUUUUAACAAAUUAUUUUAACAAUUGAGGACAACUCUGUUGUCCUUGUUGGAAAUGCAUGACUUGCAAUGCAAAAACUUACAUACAUACAAAACACUGAACCCUUUUGAUCCUUUUCACACAAAUUAUGAUUAAGGGGCAGAUUAUUGAUUAUUACUAUGUUAUUACCCUUAAAACACUUUUACUAUAGUGUAUGAUGUGUAAACUAAUGCAUUUUGACCUUUA